rnacentral:lncRNA from 1 species
CCUAAGUUGUGUGCCAGUGUGAGUGUUUGUGCCGUUUCCUGUACCGUAUUGGUCCGGCUCAUUGUUUUAUCUAUAUUAUUUAUUUUUUUUAGUGUACGUGUUUAUUUUACUCUAUUUACUUGGUUUGUUCUCUCUUUUUUUUUUUCAUUUGGUUUGUUCAUCUUAUUAUUAUUCAUGCUUACUUUAUUUCGUGUAUCCUCUCUUGUUACUCCUUUAUCUACUUCUUUUGGCCUCAGUUUUCAACAUUUUCACCUGUCCUUUUGAUCGUUACCAUAUACUCUCUACUUCAUUUACUCUGUCUGCUUUAAUAACAACAUCUACCGCAUUUAACUAUCAACUUUAACACUUUCACUUCACUUUCUGAUUGUUACUGUAUAUUCAUGACUUUAUUUACUCUAUCUACUUUAAUAACAACAUCUACUGCAUUUAACUACCAAUUUUAACACCUUUACUUGACUUUCUGAUCGUUGUUAUAUACUCAUUGCUACUCUUACUCAAUCUACGGUAAUAACAACAUGUACUAUCAACUUUAAUAUCUUUACUUGACUUUCUGAUCGUUACUAUAUACUCAUUACUUCAUUUGCUCUGUCUAGCUUCAUGACAACAUCUACUGCAUUUAACUAUCAAAUUUAACACCUUCACUCUUCUUUCUGAUCAGUGUUUGUGCUCACCUCGCGCCCUUUGCUAUAUACGGAUCGAUGGAGUGAGGAUGUGUAAGUGUUCUCGGUGCGUUGCGUCACCAGGAUCAACAAAGCCCACACUAUAUCCUCCCGGCCUUCGUGAAGUGUCUCUUGGGUGAAGAAACUCCUUUCUCUGAAUUCGACUAGCGUGUUUGAGUGAGUCCCGCUCCCUUACACCCUACACUGACUUCUUUUUUUAAUGUCCUGUAUUGGAGUUCCCUUGCUCUUUACUUUCUUUUGUCUGUGUGUGUUGGUUGGAUAUCGUGUGUCUGAGUGCUGGUGUCUUUGCUCUCCUGUGUCAUAUUGUUUUGGUUUGGUUUGUUAUGCUUGGUCUUCUUUCUCUUCACUACCUUAUAUUAGUGUUUUGCUCUUUUCUAUCUUGUAUCAGUGUGCUUUGGGCUUUUUAUCUGAAUUAUUUCCAUUGUUUAUAAGGCAGGUUUUCACGUCCGCACAGCUGUUUGUGUUGUCUCGGUGACUUGUAGGACACCACGCCAUUUGCUAUUUCAUUCGGGUUUAUUAGUGAUCACCUCGUCCUCCACUACCUCCUGCGUCAGUGUAUCUGUGGCGCCUGUAUCUGCCUCACAGCCUCACAGUUCACUCAGCUUGCAGUUCGUGGCUUGACUCCCGUUGUGGAACUAAAGAAUAUUACUUGUUUGUGGCGCUGUAUAAUGUAACUGGUGAAUAAUGUGCAGUAUUCGUGCCAGAGAGAGAGAGAGAGAGAGAGAGAGAGAGAGAGAGAGAGAGAGAGAGAGAGAGAGAGAGAGAGAGAGAGAGAGAGAGAGAGUGGGGAGACACCUGAUCCCACACAAGAUAGAAGACCAGAACCAGUUUAUGGCUACAGCACGUGCCUCUCCCACCGCCAACUUCCCUCCCUCCCUCCUUUCCUUCCCUUCUUCCCUCCUUCCCUACCUCGUGCCUUACUCGCUGGGUUGUCACACUGCACUCCCCUACCUUCCUUUUCCUCCUCCUCCUCCUCCUCCUCCUCCUCCUCCUCCUCCUCCUCUUUUCUCUCUAUUCUACCAUAUCGCCUCCUUUCAUCAAGUAACCCUUCCUUCCUCUCUCAUAUUAUCUUCAUACUACGUCUAACCUCCCCCUUCCUCUUCUUUUAUAAUCUCUCUCUCUCUCUCUCUCUCUCUCUCUCUCUCUCUCUCUCUCUCUCUCUCUCUCUCUCUCUCUCUCUCUCUCUCUCUCUCACCCCCAGGGGAUGUAAACAGGGAUGUAGGGUCACGUGUGCACGGACAUCUGAGUGCUUGGAGUGUGCUGUGUCCCGCCAGAGAGAGAGAGAGAGAGAGAGAGAAAGAGAGGGAGAGAGAGACUUACCGGAUACACACACACACACACACACACACACACACACACACACACACACACACACACACACACACACA